rnacentral:tRNA from 1 species
AGCCUCAUGGUGUAGCGGUCAUCACGAUAGAUUGUAAUUUCUGUAGACCCGAGUUCGAUCCUCGGUGAGGCUU